rnacentral:lncRNA from 1 species
UGUUUUAUUCAGUGUUUAUCAAUCACAAAAUAAAUAUGACGUGAAACUCUUCUCAGGCCUGCAGGGUAUGGCGGUGGUUGACGAGUUUGGAGGGGUGGAAGAGAGCAGAGUUCAUCAUGCAGCAUCUCAGAGCAUCGUUCUGAGAGGAAAACACACUGAUGUGAUCUUCCGGAUGGACUGUGCUCCACCGAAGGUCAGGAGUUCUGUUCAGUCCAUCAAAUCAAUGUGUGAUAAACACUGUCAUCAAAUAUAUAAAACAGCACGUGUUUCUCAUGUCUUCUCACCUGUGUCUCUCUGCAGAAUUCUGUGGAGCUGUAUUGUAAUGGUGAAUGCAAAAAUAAUUCAGUGUAUGAAAGUCAAAUCGGUGCUGUUUCAUUUGAACAGAUUUCUGUAUUUAAAUACGUCAUUUCGGGGUUGAACAGUCACAUAACGCUGCAAACAGGAGCACUUCUGAUGGCAUCUUCAUCUUCCUGCCCAUCAUCAUCAUCUUCAUUUUUGUCACCUAGAUUUAUUGGGUCGUUUCUGUAGGUUUUCUGGUGACUUUGGAUUCUGUGACGUGGAGACCAAACCCAGAGAUGAACCGCAAAAACACAGCAGAAAUCAUAACAUAUCAUACUAAAAAUAUCUGUCUAUCUA